rnacentral:rRNA from 1 species
GGGAUUCCCUCAGUAACGGCGAGUGAAGAGGGAGAAGCCCAGCGCUGAAUCGUACUGCUUGCAAAGGUAGUAUGACAUGUGGCGUGAAGCUGGCGGCUAUUGCUGUUGUCGAUGCGUGUAAGUCUCCCUGAGCGGGGCUCAGUCCCAGAGAUGGUGCUAGGCCCGUAUCGCGCGUGACAAGUACAGCAAUGUUCGUUAGCGGAGAGUCAGGUUGCUUGGGAACGCAAUCUAAAGUCGGUGGUACACUCCAUCGAAGGCUAAAUAUGGCUUCGAGUCCGAUAGCGAACAAGUACCGUGAGGGAAAAUUGAAAAGCACUUUGAAGAGAGAGCGAAAUAGUGCGUGAAACCGCUCAGAGGUAAGCAGAUGGGCCUUUGAAGGUGUGCAUAGGAUUUGUUUCCUAGUUCGUACGCCACCGUCGUUGCUUGAUUUUAUGGUGCGCCAUGCGCUGACAUUUGGACACCCGAGAUUGGGACUCGUGCCUGCUCGGGAUGCUCGGUGUUGGACGUAAUGAGUAUAGCGGCACUCGGUAACGAAGCAGGGCAUUGUCGUUGCUGUAAAGCGCCGGCUGUGUUUGCUUGCUGGCGUAUUUUGCUGUUGUAACGAGACGCAAGUCUCGGUAUGCGGCGUACGUUGCAACUCAAGCAUUAGCCCCGGCAUAACGACUU